AUGUAGAACAAAUAACACCAGUAACAAUGUAGGAAAAAACAUAAAAUGAUAUAUGUCAUUUAAUAUGUCUAUUAAACCAUUGCCCCAGUUCAUGCUGGGAGGGUUCCCAACACACCAAAUGUACCUGCACUCACGUGAUCAGCACUCAGCCAAUCAUAUGAAUGUUGAUCAUUGUCUUUAACUCUCUACUAAUUUGGCCUUUAUUUAAAGUGCAAGCACAAGAUAGCAUUCAGUAUCAACAAAAAAGUCCUCAGACUGCGUUCAAAGAACCAAAUGAGCUGGAUGAGAAUAAACAUAAUUAUUUUAGACUGAUACCAGCAUGUUAGCCUGAAUUAGUUAGACUACAUUUGAAGAACAAGGCCCAGGUAAUAUUAGUUGUUAUUUCCUUUUUAAUUACGAACCGCAUACAAAUUUUUAAAUAGAUGAAUUCUAGCUCAUUCAUAAAGGUAUGUGUCCCAGAAGCCCAGUUUUUAAAUUUCUUUUCUUUUUUCUUGUGUACACAAGAUUUUAAAAAGUAGUUUUUAUGUGUGUAUAAAAACAAACAGAAUUCUAACAUUAUACUGUAUCCAAUAAGGAUAACUUUUAGACUUCUUAAGUACAGCAUACUGUAUGUUGCUUUAGUUUAUUUAUCCAGCUCAUUUUAUUUAGAAAAUAUCACAACCAAACUCCAAUAAAGUAGUCAAUCAUGUGAGGAGAAGUGUUAAAGGGAGGUUGGUAUAUAUCCAUUUUAUUUUAAACCAAGAAGAUAUAGGAUAUUUUUUCUGAAUUAGUUGCAACAUUGUAAUAUUUAAAUAAGUUAUAAUAUUGUGGAGGUAGUAUUGUAUGCUCAACUGUAUGCUGUGUAACUCCUGGUAACUGUUAUCAAGUUUAUUUAUAUAGCAUAAUUGCUCAGAAUGAGGUAGAGUCUAACCAACUAGCAGAAAUAUGAAACAGCAGCGGGUAGGGUUGAAGGGAAUAACCCUUUGAGAUAACUGGGUUGAGAUGCACAGGCUAAUAAAUCUGAAAUUAUGAUGAGUUGGCAGAAUUAGUGGGAUAAUGAAACGACUGGAAUGUUUUUAAAAACACUGAAAGGAAAGUAGGUAUACUACAUAUGCUAGAGGAGGAUACGUGAUUUGGAUGCACAGUGGUUUGAAAAUGACUCUGAUUUAAAUAUAGACAUAUGCUAACAAGACUAUGCUAAGACAAGACCUAAAAUCAAAUUUUGACGAAAAGUAUGCAUCAGGAAUAAGUUUAAGUCUUUUCAGGCCAGAUGGUGGCGGUAAUGGGCCGAAUGCAGUUUGCUAAUGCCGUUAAACACUAGAAGAAAAGAGGAAAAGCAAAGACGACGACGAAGAAGAAGAAAAAGAAGGAACUGAAGGUUGCUGGCGACCCACGUUGAAGCUAGUAGCGUGGACCGACUUUGAGAUGUCAUGACCUCCAGCCAAUUCAACAUGGAGGACCCUCCAUCCUCAGACACACAGACCAUGUGGGAGAGAACCGAUUCAUGUGGAGGAUGAUCCUUUUGUGACGAUGGGAUUGUUGAUCCUUACCAAGAGCCGAGAGCAAAGACAUGGAGAGCAUGUAUGAAAAUAUAUAUUUAUGGAGGAGUGCACUAAUGCGCGCUCAGUCAUGCUGCUGGUCAUCGCACGCUGGCCUAAAGAAACAAGGUUGCUACGACUGACCUCCAGGCUGUGAGGAAUGGCCUGAGGAUGAGCAACCUGUGUCUGCUUCUGAAGUGGGGCUGCGGGAAAAUUUGUCAACUCCUUUGCUCAUGCUCCAUAAUGGAAAGCCACAUCUUGUGCCAGAAAGUAGUGCUCCAGGCCCUUGGAUGAGUUAAACUAAAGAUGUUGUGGAUGUCAAUGUACCUCAUUCUUUUAUAAUAAACUUGUAACCGUCUUCAGAA